GAACAAAGGACAAAGAACAACAUCGCCAGCUAAAAGUUCAGGGCGGCGACGCGGAACUGGCGAGGGGAAUGUUGCUGUUGAAGGGCGUGGAUGGACUGAGGGGGCUGAGGCCGCUGGUUCACCUGCUGGUCCCGCUCUGCGUCCACUGGAUCGCCGAGGAAAUGACGGUGUCGGUGCUCGUCGACGUCCUGAUCGACGCUCUGUGCCCCGGCGACACCACCUGCUCUGAAGUCAUCUACUUCAACGGCCUCCAGCAGACGAUCGUUGGAGUUUUCAAGAUGUUUUCGAUUCCCAUCCUCGGUCAGCUUGCAGACGAGUAUGGACGGAAGCCGGUGCUCCUCGUGAUCAUAUCGACGUCCGUGUUUCCCUUUGCUAUGCUGGCCUGGGAUCAGUCGAGGGGAUUUGUAUAUGCGUAUUAUGUGCUCCGGACCAUAUCAUACAUUCUCAGCCAGGGCAGUAUAUUCUGUGUUUCCGUUGCCUAUGCGGCGGAUGUCGUUGAACCCGGUAAGAGGGCUUUCGCGUUUGGCUGGAUUACAGGGUUUUAUUCUGCUUCUCAUGUCCUGGGAAACUUGGUAGCACGUUUUCUCCCAGAGAAGUACAUAUUUGAUGUUUCAAUAGCUCUCCUGCUCUGUUGCCCGAUAUAUAUCUACGUGUUUCUGCGUGAGACAGUUAAGUAUGCCCCAAGGCAGGAACAAGACUCCACAUGGUCGACUAGGAUUUUAAGGGGUGUGUCCAAACGGUACAGGUCAAUGAGAGAUGCUGCAAUAAUAGUUAUAAGGAGUCAAACACUCAGAGGCAUCUCCGUUGUUUCCUUCCUCUACCAGUUGGGAAUGACUGGCAUCAGCAACGUAUUACUGUACUAUCUGGAGGCAGCUUUUGGUUUUACCAAGAACCAAUUUUCGGAGAUUCUAAUAGUAGUGGAAGCGGGUUCAAUAGUUUCACAGAUUUUGGUUCUCCCUCUUGUAAAUCCUUUGGUUGGAGAAAAAGUAAUACUCUGCAUAGGCUUACUUGCAUCAAUUGCUUAUGCAUUGUUCUAUGGCUUGGCUUGGGCAUCAUGGGUGGCAUACUUAAGUGCCUCUUUCGGAGUUAUUUAUGCCCUUGUUGAUCCUGCUACCUAUGCCAUAAUUUCAAAAGCAUCAAGCUCGACCGAUCAGGGAAAGGCGCAAGGAUUCAUAGCUGGUAUACAAGCAAUAGCCAGUUUUUUAUCACCUCUUGCCAUAAGUCCCUUGACCGCUUGGUUUCUAUCAGAUAGUGCCCCGUUCAACUGCAAGGGCUUCAGCAUUGUAUGUGCCUCUGUAUGCAUGGUUCUGUCUUUCGCGUACGCUUGUCUGCUUAAACCUGAAGAUUGGUCACGCCAGAACUCAGAUCAGGACAACAUAGAAGACCAAGAAGCACCAUUACUUUGCAGCAGUACUGGAUAAAUUACGAACCAUCCAACUUUUCCUGUAGUCGUGAAUUUUCACCACGGUUGUUGCUGUUGCAUGUACCUCGGAGAGGCUCAUGGAGAAGUGAGUAUGUUUUCAAGGAGUUGCAUCUGACAAAGUUGUAAAUAUAGGAGAGUUUGGGAGCUGAAUCUUAGAUAAGCAGCUUAAGAUGGCUUAAUUAAAGUCAAAUGAGUCUUUUUGCUUCAGUUCUAGUUCUAUUGUGCUGUGAUGGACAUAAAGAUCCAAGAACCAGUCAUUGUCAAGAAGAACAGUCUCAAGAGUCCAAAGACUAACUUAUCAGCACAACUGUGAACGACAUCAAUUCCAUCUGCAUAAUCUUAUGGAAAGACCGGUGCUAUGCAAGCAGAGCUGAGAAAAGAUUCAUUUCGCUCGAAGACAAGCACAAGAGACUCAAGACGGCUUAGAAUAAUUACCGUGGCCAUGUGAGAUGGAGGAAGGUGCCGACCGAACCAGCAAAAACAAAUGUUGGUUACAAAGUAUUGAGCCAGCUGAAAGGAGUAUCAAAUGUAAUCAAUUAGGAACAAAUCGAGCUGAGAUCAUACGGAAAAGGAAUUGGAGGUACAAGUGGAGGAAGAGAGGAUCAGUGUCAGCUGAUGGGCAUUAUUGAAACCCAGGUCCCUUUGUUUGGUUCCGUUGACUUCUUUGUUCUUUAAUCAUGGGGAUCUCGAGCAUGUCGAUGUGAGAUGUGCGGUUGCGGACAUGUUGGCAAUUUCUUUCGAUUGCUUGGACGGUGUCUUUUGAUGUGAUAGAAUCUUGUGAGCUUCCACAGACAGGGAUUCCC